GAUGAACGCUAGCGGGAGGCUUAACACAUGCAAGUCGAGGGGCAGCACGAGGUAGCAAUACUUUGGUGGCGACCGGCAGACGGGUGAGUAACGCGUAUGUAACCUACCCUGUACAGGGGGAUAACCCGGAGAAAUUCGGAUUAAUACCCCAUAAAGAUAUUGAGAGGCAUCUUUUAAUAUUUAAAGUUUCGGCGGUACGGGAUGGGCAUGCGUAAGAUUAGCUGGUUGGUAGGGUAACGGCCUACCAAGGCAACGAUCUUUAGGGGUCCUGAGAGGGUGAUCCCCCACACUGGUACUGAGACACGGACCAGACUCCUACGGGUGGCAG
rnacentral:rRNA from 1 species